UACAGAGGUCUCGAGCGUUGUUCGGAUUCAUUGGGCGUAAAGGGUGCGUAGGCGGUUGGAUAAGUCUGAUGUGAAAUCUUCGAGCUCAACUCGGAAACUGCAUCGGAAACUAUCUAGCUAGAGGAUUGGAGGGGAGACUGGAAUUCUCGGUGUAGCAGUGAAAUGCGUAGAUAUCGAGAGGAACACCAGUGGCGAAGGCGAGUCUCUGGACAAUUCCUGACGCUGAGGCACGAAAGCUAGGGGAGCAAACAGG
rnacentral:rRNA from 1 species